GGAGGAGGAGGAGGAGGUAAUAGCUAGAAGUCCCGGGGGAGGAGGAGAAGGAGGAGGCGCGGGCGGCGCAGGCGGUCGUGCAGCUGCUGCAGCAGCAGGAGAUGCCUUUAACCUUUGGAAGUAUUGAAUUGUACUAUAUAUGGGAAGAUGGGAAGACACUACAAAGAAAACUUCAUAUUUGAGUGUAUCCUUUGCCUAAAAGGAAUUUUUUCCCAUUUAAUCUUCCGUCCUUUAUCCAGGAUUGUACCCUGUAAGAUUAUCCCACAGUAUCUUUACAAAGAAGCCUUCAUCCUGAAGAAUCAAGAAGUAUUUUUGAUGUCCACAUUAUAUUUUUUAAAUCCCUAUAAAUAAACAGCUUUUAUGAUGUCUAAA